GGCUUUAUAAUGCCUUGGUCGCCUUGGGUGCGAUCGUAGCGUGCCUCUUCCCUUCUUUCUCCGUUUCCGGCAACUAUGUCUCCUCUUUGUUGCAGCAACGGUCGCCGGAGAAGCCACUGCGGAAAAGGUUACAGCUUGGUCGACGGUUGUCCUCCAUUUAUUUGCGUCUCCUCUGUGGCUCUGCGGAAAAGGUAAGUCUUUAUUAUUAAUGUAAUUUUUUUUUUUUUAUUAUUUUGUUUAUGCCAUAGCAAGUUUAGGUUUGAUAGCAGGUUUAGGUUUUUCAGUAGAAAAAAAAAAAACUAUAGUCAAUAAAUAAACAAAAAAAACAAAGGCAGCGUAUGAGCUUAAAACAAAGGUUUUUCAGUAGAUUAUUCUAGCUUCAUUUUAUAAAGAUUUUCAAAUUACAUUUAAAUACAACCAAUAGAUAGUAAUUACAACUUACAAUAAAGAAAUGACAUAUAGAAAAUGUGUGAACGUUUUAUGGAAGUGUAAAUAUAAUUUUUUUUUCAUAUUUAUCCUUCGUAUAUGAAUAAUAAUUAAUAUUUUAAUUCUUAAAAAAAUUUGGUGUUUGGAUAUAUUAAAUUAAAAAUAAUACAAUCAACUUACUUAAUAAUUUAUAAUAAUUUAAAUAAAUAUAAUUUUUUAUUUUUAAAAUCAUGAAAUUCCAAACCUGAAAUAUUCAGGAUCGGAGGUAUAUAUAAUUCGCUUUAGAAUGAUAAAUUCAGUAAUUAUUACACAAAGGGACUCCAGCAAACUGAUACAGAGGAGAAUAAAUGGAAUAAUUUUUUAUUUUUAUUAUAUUUUGGAAAGGGUUAUCACAUAAAAUUUGAAAAAGAAAAAAAAAAAGAAAAAGAAAAUGCAUAGUGGAGUUUAAAUAGUGUAAGGUGGGGGCUUGGGCAAGCCUUUAACAAGUCCACAUAGCAUAGCAUUGUCAGGUACAUUGUACUCAUCUCUAAGAGAUCUUGCAGGAGAAAGAACGCUGGCAUAAAGCUGUUGUCCCAAGUAUGUCCUCUCCCACAUCUCAGAUCUUAGGUUCCACAUCCCACAAUUGUCGAAUGUCAACAG
rnacentral:lncRNA from 1 species